rnacentral:sRNA from 1 species
GUCUAGCCCUGAUAGUAGUGAAAAUCCUUUUAAAAGCGAUAGCGAUUAAAAGAUUGUAGCGGAUAGCAGGAUUAAGC